AUUGAACGCUGGCGGCAGGCCUAACACAUGCAAGUCGGGCGAGUGGCGGACGGGUGAGUAAUGUAUCGGAAUCUGCUCGAUGGAGGGGGAUAACUAAUGGAAACGUACGCUAAUACCGCAUACCAUUAAAUGAGCCCAAAUUGGAUUAGCUAGUGGGUGGGGUAACGGCUCACCUAGGCGACGAUCCCUAGCUGGUCUGAGAGGAUGAUCAGCCACACUGGGACUGAGACACGGCCCAGACUCCUACGGGAGGCAGCAGUGGGGAAUAUUGGACAAUGGGCGCAAGCCUGAUACAGCCAUGCCGCGUGUAUGAAGAAGGCCUUCGGGUUGUAAAGUACUUUCGGUCGGGAGGCGUUACCGACAGAAGAAGCACCGGCUAACUCCGUGCCAGCAGCCGCGGUAAUAC
rnacentral:rRNA from 1 species